CAUCUACUCCCUCCGUUCGGAAUUACUUGUCACAAAAAUGGGUAAAAAGGAUGUAUCUACAACUAAAAUACAUCUAGAUACAUUCAUUUCUUGGACGAGUAAUUCCGAACGGAGGGAGUAAUAU
rfam:Triticum aestivum genome assembly, contig: Triticum_aestivum_CS42_TGACv1_scaffold_129400_2BL